rnacentral:rRNA from 1 species
AUUGAACGCUAGCGGGAUGCCUUACACAUGCAAGUCGGACGGAGUGGCGAACGGGUGAGUAAUAUAUUGGACCGUGCGCAGUCCCGGGAGGUCACUACGCGAAACCGUAGCUAAUACCGCAUACUAUUAGAGGCGCCGAUAUCGGAUUAGCUAGUUGGUGGGGUAACGGCUCACCAAGGCGACGAUCCGUAGCUGGUUUGAGAGGACGACCAGCCACACUGGGACUGAUACACGGCCAAGACCCCUACGGGAGGCAGCAGUGGGGAAUUUUGGACAAUGGGGGAAACCCUGAUCCAGCAAUCCCGCGUGGGCGAUGAAGGCCUUCGGGUUGUAAAGCACCUUUGGCAGGCAGGCGGUACCUGGAGACUAAGGCCCGGCUCACUCCGUGCCAGCAGCCGCGGUAAUAC